ACAGUGGACGCGAGCAUCUGUGGCCAAGUUUUUAAGGGCGCACGGUGGAUGCCUUGGCACCAGGAACCGAUGAAGGACGUGGGAGGCCGCGAUAGGCCCCGGGGAGCUGUCAACCGAGCUUUGAUCCGGGGGUGUCCGAAUGGGGAAACCCGGCAGUCGUCAUGGGCUGUCACCCGCUGCUGAACACAUAGGCAGUGUGGAGGGAACGCGGGGAAGUGAAACAUCUCAGUACCCGCAGGAAGAGAAAACAACCGUGAUUCCGGGAGUAGUGGCGAGCGAAACCGGAUGAGGCCAAACCGUAUGUGUGUGAUACCCGGCAGGGGUUGCGCAUGCGGGGUUGUGGGAUCUCUUUUCAAUAGUCUGCCGGCUGUUGGACGAGUCAGAAACCGUUGGUGUAGGCGAAGGACAUGCGAAAGGUCCGGCGUAGAGGGUAAGACCCCCGUAGCUGAAACAUCAACGGCUCGUUUAAGAGACACCCAAGUAGCACGGGGCCCGAGAAAUCCCGUGUGAAUCUGGCGGGACCACCCGUUAAGCCUAAAUAUUCCCUGGUGACCGAUAGCGGAUAGUACCGUGAGGGAAUGGUGAAAAGUACCGCGGGAGCGGAGUGAAAUAGUACCUGAAACCGUGUGCCUACAAGCCGUGGGAGCGUCGCGAUGAGUGCUUGCACUCAUCGUCGUGACUGCGUGCCUUUUGAAGAAUGAGCCUGCGAGUUUGCGGUGUGUUGCGAGGUUAACCCGUGUGGGGAAGCCGUAGCGAAAGCGAGUCCGAAUAGGGCGAUUGAGUAGCGCGCCCAAGACCCGAAGCGGAGUGAUCUAGCCAUGGGCAGGUUGAAGCGGAGGUAAGACUUCGUGGAGGACCGAACCCACCAGGGUUGAAAACCUGGGGGAUGACCUGUGGUUAGGGGUGAAAGGCCAAUCAAACUCCGUGAUAGCUGGUUCUCCCCGAAAUGCAUUUAGGUGCAGCGUCGUGUGUUUCUUGCCGGAGGUAGAGCACUGGAUAGGCGAUGGGCCCUACCGGGUUACUGACCUUAGCCAAACUCCGAAUGCCGGUAAGUGAGAGCGCGGCAGUGAGACUGUGGGGGAUAAGCUCCAUGGUCGAGAGGGAAACAGCCCAGAGCAUCGACUAAGGCCCCUAAGCGUACGCUAAGUGGGAAAGGAUGUGGAGUCGCAGAGACAACCAGGAGGUUGGCUUAGAAGCAGCCACCCUUGAAAGAGUGCGUAAUAGCUCACUGGUCAAGUGAUUCCGCGCCGACAAUGUAGCGGGGCUCAAGCGUACCGCCGAAGUCGUGUCAUUGCAGCAAUACUCCCAACGGAGGCUGUGAUGGGUAGGGGAGCGUCGUGUGCCGGGUGAAGCAGCCGCGGAAGCGAGUUGUGGACGGUUCACGAGUGAGAAUGCAGGCAUGAGUAGCGAUACACACGUGGGAAACGUGUGCGCCGAUUGACUAAGGGUUCCUGGGUCAAGCUGAUCUGCCCAGGGUAAGUCGGGACCUAAGGCGAGGCCGACAGGCGUAGUCGAUGGACAACCGGUUGAUAUUCCGGUACCCGCUUUGAAACGCCCAAUAUCGAAUCAGGCGAUGCUAAGUCCGUGAAGCCGUUCUGGAUCCUUCGGGUGAAGGAAAGUGGUGGAGCCGACGAUCCAGACUUGUAGUAGGUAAGCGAUGGGGUGACGCAGGAAGGUAGUCCAGCCCGGGCGGUGGUAGUCCCGGGGUAAGGGUGUAGGGCGCUGUCUAGGCAAAUCCGGACAGCAUGAAGCCUGAGACCUGAUGCCGAGCCGAUUGUGGUGAAGUGGAUGAUCCUAUGCUGUCGAGAAAAGCCUCUAGCGAGUUUCAUGGCGGCCCGUACCCUAAACCGACUCAGGUGGUCAGGUAGAGAAUACCGAGGCGUUCGGGUGAACUAUGGUUAAGGAACUCGGCAAAAUGCCCCCGUAACUUCGGGAGAAGGGGGGCCACAACCGGUGAUG
rnacentral:rRNA from 1 species